GGUGUAAAUAGUUGCUCAAACUAUACCCUUUGGGUAGUGCUCCACAUUUAAUGGAGGAAUAUACAAGAAACUGAACUGAACUGAACUGGUGGGUUCCAAAUGUUGUCACAUUAACCUCUUUUAUCAGUUUGGCUUCCAAUUUGAUUCCUUACGGAACUAUAAACACAUAUCACACAAGUGGGAGGUUUAUCCAGCUAUGAAAUUUGUUUCAACCACUGCCUUUAAUUAGAUUUUAAAUUUUUAGGUUAUUCGUCUCAAUUUUAAGGUGCUCCUUACAAAGGACGGACAUAUGCUUAUUAUGCUUAUGACAUAAAAUAAGUCACUACCUUCUCCUUUUCUGAUUGUUCCCCUACCCUGCCGAAGUUUCAAAAUUAUGGAAACAGCUUCUUUAUCAUCAUCUGAUGUAGAGGAAUCUGCUGCAUCUACAGAAGAAGAUAAUUUAUGUGUUAAAGAUGUCCAAAAUCAAGCACACACAUUACUCGUAUCAACUGUCAAACGCCCAAGACACAAGCCCAAAACAAGUGUGAUACCAAACAGUGUUUCUGAGUGGAAAAGAAAACAUGCCCAGAAAGUAAACAUCUAUUACAAUGACAGUUAUUAUCCUACUGCUUCAGACGUUGCAAUAAAGAAAGGAAAUCUAACUGAGUUUACGAUUCAACAGGAACAGUAUAUGAGUACUUUGAAGUCACAUCUUCAUUUUGAUGCAACUCUGCAGAAUAAUCCAUGUCAAUUUGCUACUCAUGAAUUUUACAGUAAACACAUGAAACCAACUUUGGACAGUUUAAGGAAAAAGAUAAAAUUAUCAGAUGGAGAGAACAGCAAUGACUCGUACAUAGAUGUGAUGGCAAAAGUUCACAUUGAUGGCUUUCUCUCAGAGCUUUCCGAGUAUCUUCUGAUCAGUGAACAACAGUAUAAACAUGGUGCAUGUGAAGUGGCUGAUGGAAUAUAUACACAACUUUUCUAUGCAUUUGCUACCAUGUGUCAUUUAAGACCAAGGUUUGGUGGUACAGCUCCGAGCUUUUGGAAAGGUUUACUGGGUGUUGAUGUUACCUCAAAUCCAGAUUUCCGAUUAUGUACCAAAAGUAUGUCACAUAGAGAGAAAGAAGAAGAAAGCAACAUUUGUACUGUAACCUUUGUUAAGAAAACACAACCAGUUAAAAACCAGUCAAAGAAAAGAUACAUAGAGAGUAGCUGUAGUAGUAGUGUUAGCUCUUCAACAGAAGACAGUCCAGAUGAAGAACCAGUACACAAAAAACACAGGCGAUGUUCAUUUGGUAGCAACGACAGUUCUUCAGUAUAUGGGUAUGAGAAUUUCACACCAGAAAUAGGAGACGAUUUGGAAGGUUAUGUUUUAGGACGACAUGCUGGUGAACUUUUAUUGGAUGUCAGGAAAUAUGCCAAGGGUAAUGACAAAAUGCCUGGUAUCAUAGUGAAUGGAACAAAGAUAUAUUUUACCUUGUUGGACAUCACAAGCCAUCAUAUGAUUAAACUGUACCAAAGAAAGGAACUAGAUAAAGAUAAGGAUUUUGCCACCAUAUAUUAUUCAAGGCCCUUGGACAUCUUAGUAGAAGAAGAUAGAAUACAACUGAUAGAAAACUUCACGAGACUUAAUAACUUCCAGUUUCAUAGCAAGGACUGAAGAUAGAUAUAAAGCCAUCAGUUCCAGGUCAGUGGGUUCAAACAGAAAGAUUUUGAAAGCAGAGAAAACUGUGUAUCUUAUAUUUGGCAUGACUUUAUCAGAUGACAAUACCAAUACUAAGAUAAGGCUUACGCAUAGUUAUGUACUUUAAUUCAGUCACGGACCAGCAAUAUCACAGCUUUAUCAAGUUUACAAGUUAUGGAAUUAAUGCUUUCAUUCAAAAUCUGACAUUGUGCUAAACUGAGUAUUAAAAAAUAAAGACUGACGAUGAUAUCUGCUAUUUGUAAUGCCACGGUUGCAUUCAUAUGAAAUAUGAAUAAUAAAAGUGACAAGAUGUAAUGGAUGACUUCGUUAAACAGAGAAAAUGUAUAUCCAUCUGUCUAGUGAGUGGAUUUUGUAAGGAUUAGGACAUUAUCUUUAUACAUGAGACUGAAAUAAGAGUGUAUUGUUAUAAAUCAUUUCAUCAAAAAAUAUAUAAGGUGCUGACAAUAAAGAUAAAAUAUCUA